rnacentral:rRNA from 1 species
AGAGUUUGAUCGUGGCUCAGGAUGAACGCUAGCGGCGCGCCUAAUGCAUGUAAGUCGAGCGAUGAGGCUCCUUCGGGAGUACAUCAGCGGCAGACGGGUGAGUAACACGUAGGUGACUUGCCCUCAAGACAGGGAUAACGGGUGGAAACAUCCGCUAAUACCAGAUACCUUCCCGGGGUCAAAGCCGGGAAGAAAGCUCCGGCGCUUGAGGAGAGGCCUGCGGCCCAUCAGCUAGUUGGUGAGGUAACGGCCCACCAAGGCAAAGACGGGUAGGGGGUGUGAGAGCACGGCCCCCCACAAUGGGACUGAGAGACGGCCCAUACUUCUACGGAAGGCAGCAGCAGGGAAUAUUGCACAAUGGGCGGAAGCCUGAUGCAGCGACGCCGCGUGAGUGAAGAAGGCCUUCGGGUUGUAAAACUCUUUUCGGGAGGAAGAGAGAGGACGGUACUCCCAGAAAAAGCGUCGGCUAACUACGUGCCAGCAGCCGCGGUAAUACGUAGGACGCAAGCGUUAUCCGGAUUUACUGGGCGCAAAGCGUCUGUAGGCGGUAGAGUAAGUUGGGCGUGAAAGCUCCGGGCUUAACCCGGAGAGUGCGUUCAAUACUACUAAACUAGAGGGCGUAAGAGGGGAGCGGAAUUUCCGGUGUAGCGGUAAAAUGCGCAGAUGUCGGAAGGAACACCCGUGGCGAAGGCGGCUCCCUGGUGCGCACCUGACGCUGAGAGACGAAAGCUAGGGGAGCAAACAGGAUUAGAGACCCUGGUAGUCCUUGCCCUAAACGAUGAAUGCUAGGUGUGGGGCCGAAUGGCUCUGUGCCGGAGCUAACGCAGUAAGCAUUCCGCCUGGGGAGUACGGCCGCAAGGCUAAAACUCAAACGAAUUGACGGGACCCCGCACAAGCAGCGGAGCGUGUGGUUUAAUUCGAUAUUACACGAAGAACCUUACCUGGAUUUGACAUGAAGGUGGUAGGGAAGCGAAAGCGGACCGACUCGUAAGAGAGCCUUCACAGGUGCUGCAUGGCUGUCGUCAGCUCGUGCCGUGAGGUGUCGGGUUAAGUCCCGUAACGAGCGCAACCCCUGCCCUUAGUUAUAAGUGUCUAAGGGGACUGCCGGCGGAAAGCCGGAGGAAGGUGGGGAUGACGUCAAGUCAGCAUGGCCUUUUAUGUCCAGGGCUACACACACGCUACAAUGGCCGGUACAAUGGGCUGCGAAGCCGCGAGGUGGAGCGAAUCCGAUCAAAGCCGGUCUUAGUUCGAAUAGCAGGCUGCAACCCGCCUGCUUGAAGCUGGAGUUGCUAGUAACCGCGCGUCAGCUAUAGUGCGGUGAAUACGUUCCCGGGGUUUGUACACACCGCCCGUCACGUCAUGGGAGUCGGUAACGCCUGAAGCCGGUAGCCUAGCCCGCAAGGGGGGGCGCUGUCGAAGGCGGGACUGGCGACUGGGACGAAGUCGUAACAAGGUA